rfam:Schistosoma margrebowiei strain Zambia genome assembly, scaffold: SMRZ_contig0008755
GCACUGCUGAGGAGUCCCAUACCAAGACGAAACAGCCGUCCAGUGC